AAUAUCGGAUACUGAAUAUCUUCUAAUCCAGUCUCGUUGACAUUCAAAACAAACCCUGAUUGGUGUUUAAUUUUGUUUGGAUUUCUUUUUUUGUUAAUUGUUUCAAGUUCCUUAUUGAAUAGUUAGCUGUUUAAUAGCUCUUCAAAAUGGUAACAUCAACUAGAGUUUUACGUGCAAUGGAUAGAAGGGACGUUCAUCCUUUAUUACAAGUAAUUAGACAAUGGUUUUAUGGGAGACCAUACAAAGAGCAAACAAGAUGGAGAGAAGAUUUAUCACCAAAGUCUACCUAUCCAUGGAAGCAAGGCGAAGAUAAAAAAUGAAUUUCUAGGAGCCCGAGUCAUAAUUACAGUCAAGAUUCCAAAGUUGUCGCUCUCUGAGAAUUGCUUCACUGUGUAAUUUAAACUAUUUUGGGCAAUGUUAUUUCACCUUUUUCAAUCUACCUUGAUAGAACAUUUUUAGAUUAAAUUAUAAUUGUUGACUGA